rnacentral:rRNA from 1 species
AACGAACGCUGGCGGCGUGGAUAAGACAUGCAAGUCGAACGGGACAGACCGAGUAGCAAUAUUUGGAAUGUUCAGUGGCGAACGGGUGCGUAACACGUGGAUAACAUUCCGGAAAGCGGGGAAUAGCCCAGGGAAACUUGGAUUAAUACCGCAUGUGGCCGCAAGGCUAAAGACGGGGACCGCAGGGCCUGUCACUUUCCGAUUGGUCCGCGGCCUAUCAGCUAGUUGGCGGGGUAAUGGCCCACCAAGGCUACGACGGGUAGCUGGGCUUAGCGGACGACCAGCCACACUGGAACUGAGACACGGUCCAGACACCUACGGGUGGCAGCAGUCGAGAAUCUUUCACAAUGGGGGCAACCCUGAUGGAGCGACGCCGUGUGGAGGAUAAGGUCUUCGGAUUGUAAACUCCUGUCAUGCGAGAACAAGGUACUCAGGCUAAUAACCUGAUUGUUUGAUGGUACCGCAAGAGGAAGAGACGGCUAACUCUGUGCCAGCCGCCGCCGUAAUAC